rnacentral:rRNA from 1 species
UACGAAGGGGGCUAGCGUUGCUCGGAAUUACUGGGCGUAAAGCGCACGUAGGCGGCUUUCUAAGUCGGGGGUGAAAUCCUGGAGCUCAACUCCAGAACUGCCUUCGAUACUGGAGAACUCGAGUCCGGGAGAGGUGAGUGGAACUGCGAGUGUAGAGGUGAAAUUCGUAGAUAUUCGCAAGAACACCAGUGGCGAAGGCGGCUCACUGGCCCGGUACUGACGCUGAGGUGCGAAAGCGUGGGGAGCAAACAGG